rnacentral:rRNA from 1 species
UGGCGGACGGCUGAGUAACGCGUGGGUGACCUGCCCCGAAGUGGGGAAUAACUGCCCGAAAGGGUGGCUAAUACCGCAUGUGGUGGGUGCCUUCAUUGGUACCAGUAAAGCCGCAAGGCGCUUCGGGAGGGGCCUGCGUCCGAUUAGCUCGUUGGUGGGGUAACGGCUCACCAAGGCGACGAUCGGUAGGUGGUCUGAGAGGACGAUCACCCAGACUGGGACUGAGACACGGCCCAG